UCUCUCUCUCUCCAGAGGUAUCAGUCUCUCUCCAGUAUCAGUGUAUCUUCAGACUUACCCAGCAUCGUUGUCCGUCCUCUUCAGUCCUUUGGAGAUGUGAGUCAGACUGUGUCUGAACUGAGAGAGAAACUAGAAGACUUCCUUAAAGGAGAAUGGACCAAGAUCUCCACUACAGUGAAUAUAGUGGAUGUUGUACUGCCUCCAGAGCCCAAGACCAGAGAACAGUUGUUACAAUAUUCCUGUCAGCUCACACUGGACCCAAACACAGCACACACACUCCUCUCUCUGUCUGAAGGGAACAGAAAGGUGACCUAUACAGACCAAGUCCAACCAUAUCCUGACCAUCCAGACAGAUUCACCAACUGGUGGCAGGUUCUGUGUAGAGAGGGUCUGUCUGGACGCUGUUACUGGGAGGUGGAGAGGACUGGUGGUGUUGAUACAGCAGUCUCAUAUAAAGACAUCAGCAGAACAGAGAAGGGUAAUGAUGGUGCAUUUGGACUCAAUAACAAGUCCUGGAGUUUAUAUUACGAUAGUGGUGGUUAUUGUUUCAGACACAAUAAUGUUGAGACUAAAGUAUCAGGCCCUCAGUCCUCCAGAGUAGGAGUGUACCUGGAUCACAAGGCAGGUACUCUGUCCUUCUACAGUGUCUCUGACACAAUGACCCUCCUCCACAGAGUCCAGACCACAUUCACUCAGCCCCUCUAUCCUGGGUUUAGGCUCUAUUAUUAUAAUGGUUCUGCUGAGCUGGUUAAACUGUAAACUGAUUUGUUAUUAAUUAAAAUUCAAUCCAAUGUUUUAA